AGUGAACGCUGGCGGUAGGCCUAACACAUGCAAGUCGAACGGCAGCACAGUAAGCGCUUGCCCUUACGGUUGGCGAGUGGCGGACGGGUGAGGCAUACAUCGGAUUCUACUUUUUCGUGGGGGAUAACGUAGGGAAACUUACGCUAAUACCGCAUACGACCUACGGGUGAAAGCAGGGGAUCUUCGGACCUUGCCCGAUUGAAUGAGCCGGUGCCGGAUUAGAUAGUUGGGGGGGUAAAGGCCCACCAAGGCGACGAUCCGUAGCUGGUCUGAGAGGAUGAUCAGCCACACUGGAACUGAGACACGGUCCAGACUCCUACGGGAGGCAGCAGUGGGGAAUAUUGGACAAUGGGCGCAAGCCUGAUCCAGCCAUACCGCGUGGGUGAAGAAGGCCUUCGGGUUGUAAAGCCCUUUUGUUGGGAAAGAAAAGCAGCAGGUUAAUACCCCGCUGUUCUGACGGUACCCAAAGAAUAAGCACCGGCUAACUUCGUG
rnacentral:rRNA from 1 species